UAAUACCGGAUAAUCAUAGAAGUUGCAUAGCUUCUAUGUAAAAGUUGGGUUUACCUAACACUACAGGAUGGGCCCGCGUCGCAUUAGCUAGUUGGUAAGGUAACGGSUUACCAAGGCGACGAUGCGUAGCCGACCUGAGAGGGUGAUCGGCCACACUGGGACUGAGACACGGCCCAGACUCCUACGGGAGGCAGCAGUAGGGAAUCUUCCGCAAUGGACGAAAGUCUGACGGAGCAACGCCGCGUGAGCGAUGAAGGCCUUCGGGUCGUAAAGCUCUGUUGUUAGGGAAGAACAAGUGCUAUUCGAAAAGGGUGGCACCUUGACGGUACCUAAACGAGAAAAGCCACGGCUAACUACGUGCCAGCAGCCGCGGUAAUACGUAGGUGGGCAAGCGUUGUCCGGAAUUAUUGGGGCGUAAAGCGCGCGCAGGCGGUCUCUUAAGUCUGAUGUGAAAGCCCCACGGCUCAACCCGUGGARGGGUCAUUGGAAACUGGGAGACUUGAGUACAGAAGAGGAGAGUGGAAUUCCAUGUGUAGCGGUGAAAUGCGUAGAUAU
rnacentral:rRNA from 1 species